ensembl:lncRNA
CAUGUAUAUGUUUUAACUUGGUUUCAUUUCACAGCUCCAAUCCAUAUGAAAAAAUACAGAGAAAGAAAGCAAAAAGCAUUGACAGACUAUUUAGAUCACUUUUGUUGAACAGAAAGAACUAAAGAAAAGAAGAACGAAAACACUUGUUCUUUCAAACAUUGAAAAAUUGGGAUUCCAAAUCAAUUUGGAGAAUUUAUUCAGCUAGGGUCUCCCUUUGAAGCACUGUUGGGGCAAUAUCACAAUUUUACAGUAAGAAUGAAAAGCUCUAAAUAUAUUUACAAUACAGUCACUAUACAUAAAUACAGGAACAACAAUUACUGUACGUAAUAGCAGUAAACUUGAAACAAAGGCAUUGGCGUCACUACAUAAUUGUUCAAAAGCAGAGAUAAUUGAAACCAAAAUUGAAAUUAAAGAAAUAUUGAACGGAUACAGAAAUGUAAUCAGAAUUAUUUCAGAAGGUGCUCCUCAAGGGUUAGUAUUCCGGCCUUUACACAUUCAACAAAGCUUUCCCAGUAUAUCACACAUUCAACACUGUAAAAUCGGUUGAUUAAAAUGGCUCUCACUUCUGUGCUUUCACGUAAUGCAUUAUGGUGUGACUGAUUUUGAAAAACAAAAACAAAUGACCAGUAUAUCAGAGAGGUAAAAACCCAAAUUAUAGUGAAAUUAUACAAUAAUUAAUUAAUCUAAGUGAUGGCAAUACUGUAAAUGCAUCUAUGAAAAUCAUAUGCAGCUUCCAUGGGAGGUACAUACAUCAUUUAAAAAGCUGGUAUUUUAGGUUAUUGUAUUUGAAAGAAUGUGGCAAGACUAAGUGCAUUAAAACGAAACCUAAACAUGGGAUGUGGGUGUUUGCAUGAUGGUAUCAGAGUUGAUGUGCUUUUAAUUAUUUGUACAAAUACUUCUCUGAGUAUGAAGUGCAAGGUCUAUUUGAAUUAUAUGAUACAUGUAAAUUGUGUUCAUGUAGAAACGUUUAGGAUAUUUGCUGUGAUUGGAGGCACUAUUCAUUAUUGCAUAACUUUGACCCUGCUUACCAAUACAAAAUUAUGCUUGUAAAACAUUUUGAUAAUGCCAAAGGGGAGUGGUAAAGCAUUCAUACAAAAAGCCUCUGUGUUCACAUGCAAAAUAUUAGCUAUACCCUUUAGGUGAAGUUUAAUAAAAUAAAAUGUAGAAUUUGGAUUAAUGAUCAUCAU